rnacentral:rRNA from 1 species
GGGGAAUAUUGGACAAUGGGCGAAAGCCUGAUCCAGCAAUGCCGCGUGAGUGAUGAAGGCCUUAGGGUUGUAAAGCUCUUUUACCCGGGAUGAUAAUGACAGUACCGGGAGAAUAAGCCCCGGCUAACUCCGUGCCAGCAGCCGCGGUAAUACGGCGGGGGCUAGCGUUGUUCGGAAUUACUGGGCGUAAAGCGCACGCAGGCGGCUUUGUAAGUUAGAGGUGAAAGCCCAGAGCUCAACUCUGGAAUUGCCUUUAAGACUGCAUCGCUUGAACACGGGAGAGGUGAGUGGAAUUCCGAGUGUAGAGGUGAAAUUCGUAGAUAUUCGGAAGAACACCAGUGGCGAAGGCGACUCACUGGACCGUUGUUGACGCUGAGGUGCGAAAGCGUGGGGAGCAAA